UUAGUUUUACUGUCACAAAACAGCACAGGUGGGGGAUAUUUGAAGUAGCCAGUUGUUGCUGGAGGGAGAAGGAGCCAGUCAGAGCGCACGACGAGACGUGGCCGGUAGCAAUCAGUCAACGAGGGUAAUAUCCCGGUGUGAGCCAGCGCACGGGCAUACAGAGCGAGAGGAGGGCACCCGUCCCGGACACUUUACAUUAGGCUGGCUACCUCCUGUGUUACAAAUUCAUAUAUGAAGAAAAGCAAUCAGGUGGUCCUGAAUGGAAAUUUGUAGAAUUUCUUUACAACUGCAAAAAGGCGAAUAAAACGAGAGUACUGGUGAGAGAGACGGUUGUGAGGCUGAGGCAGGCUGUGAUGCAUGGAGGAGGAGGCAGAGGAGACAGAGAGAGACAGGUUCCAUGACUUUAUGGAGACAUUUUCAUUUGUAAUUCCGGAGAUUUUUCUUCCCAUUCUUUCCAAGAAGUGACGCAACAUCAACACUCCCAGUAAACUGGACACAGGAAUAUUUGUUGUGUUACAAGAGCUACGCCAGAGCACCCAGACAGACCAAGUCUCAACGAACAGGUUACUGAUUACAUGGUUUUAUUAUGGGUUUUCAUUGAGCUAUUGUAAAUGAAGAUGAAAACCAUUGAGGGUUAGAGACGGUUGGCAAGGACACAGGAGAGGCCUCAUGGGAGGAACAAAACGGGAUAAGAAACCAGACGGGAUAAGAAACCAGACGGGAUAAGAAACCAGACGGGAUAAGAAAUGUGACGACUGACUGAGCAAAAGAAGAAUACGUCAGAGAAAGAAGGAAAGAGAGAAGGAUUGUGUGUUCUCUACUUUCUCAGAAGUGCAGCCCCUAAAUUCCUGUUACUAUGCCUGAGAGAGGGAGCGCAGCAGACCAGUCAAAAUGAACCCCUACGUCACCUCUCACUUUAGGAGGGAUCUCUUUCCCCACUUCCACUUGUUGUAGAGGCUUCUCUUCUCCCCUCUCUUACUGUUUGUGUGACAUGACAACACCUGUCUCUGUGUAAACCUAAGACAGUAGGUAACACCUGUCUCUGUGUAAACCUAGGACAGUAGGUAACACCUGUCUCUGUGUAAACCUAGGACAGUAGGUAACACCUGUCUCUGUGUAAACCUAGGACAGUAGGUAACACCUGUCUCUGUGUAAACCUAGGACAGUAGGUAACACCUAUCUCUGUGUAAACCUAGGACAGUAGGUAACACCUGUCUCUGUGUAAACCUAGGACAGUAGGUAACACCUGUCUCUGUGUAAACCUAGGACAGUAGAUAACACCUGUCUCUGUGUAAACCUAGGACAAUAGGUAACACCUGUCUCUGUGUAAACCUAGGACAGUAGGUAACACCUGUCUCUGUGUAAACCUAGGACACCAGGUAACACCUGUCUCUGUGUAAACCUAGGACAACAGGUAACACCUGUCUCUGUGUAAACCUAGGACAGUAGGUAACACCUGUCUCUGUGUAAACCUAGGA